rnacentral:rRNA from 1 species
AGAGUUUGAUCCUGGCUCAGGAUGAACGCUGGCGGCGUGCGUAACACAUGCAAGUUGAACGACGGUGCCAUGAAGUGGUAACACGGAGUGGUAUACGGAGUAGCGGACGGGUGAGUAAAGCAUGAGAAUCUGUCCUGUCGAGGGGGAUAACGUUCGGAAACGGACCCUAAUACCCCAUAGUCCGAGAGGUUAAAGGCAGAGAUGCGCGGCAGGAGGAGCUCGUGUCCUAUCAGCUGGUUGGUGAGGUAAGGGCUCACCAAGGCGACGACGGGUAGCCGGCCUGAGAGGGUGACCGGCCACACUGGAACUGAGAUACGGUCCAGACUCCUACGGGAGGCAGCAGUGGGGAAUAUUGGGCAAUGGGAGGAAUCCUGACCCAGCGACGCCGCGUGAACGAAGACGGCCUUCGGGUUGUAAAGUUCUUUUAUGUGGGAAGAAGGAAGUGACGGUACCACAUGAAUAAGCCCCGGCUAACUACGUGCCAGCAGCCGCGGUAAUACGUAGGGGGCGAGCGUUGUCCGGAAUUACUGGGCGUAAAGGGCACGCAGGCUGUGCUUCAAGUCAGCUGUAAAAGGAUGCGGCUUAACCGUGUUAUGCAGUUGAGACUGAGGUGCUGGAGUACCGGAGAGGCAAGUGGAAUUCCCAGUGUAGCGGUGAAAUGCGUAGAUAUUGGGAAGAACAUCGGUGGCGAAGGCGACUUGCUGGACGGUAACUGACGCUGAGGUGCGAAAGCCAGGGUAGCGAACGGGAUUAGAUACCCCGGUAGUCCUGGCUGUAAACGAUGAAUGCUAGGUGUGCGAGCAGAGAUGUUGGUGUGCCGCAGUUAACGCGAUAAGCAUUCCGCCUGGGGAGUACGGUCGCAAGAUUGAAACUCAAAGGAAUUGACGGGGGCCCGCACAA